rnacentral:rRNA from 1 species
AGUGAACGCUGGCGGUAGGCCUAACACAUGCAAGUCGAACGGCAGCACAGUAAGAGCUUGCUCUUACGGGUGGCGAGUGGCGGACGGGUGAGGAAUACAUCGGAAUCUACUUUUUCGUGGGGGAUAACGUAGGGAAACUUACGCUAAUACCUCAUACGACCUACGGGUGAAAGCAGGGGAUCUUCGGACCUUGCGCGAUUGAAUGAGCCGAUGUCGGAUUAGCUAGUUGGCGGGGUAAAGGCCCACCAAGGCGACGAUCCGUAGCUUGUCUGAGAGGAUGAUCAGCCACACUGGAACUGAGACACGGUCCAGACUCCUACGGGAGGCAGCAGUGGGGAAUAUUGGACAAUGGGCGCAAGCCUGAUCCAGCCAUACCGCGUGGGUGAAGAAGGCCUUCGGGUUGUAAAGCCCUUUUGUUGGGAAAGAAAAGCAGCAGGUUAAUACCCCGCUGUUCUGACGGUACCAAAAGAAUAAGCACCGGCUAACUUCGUG